CACCGCGGUUAUACGAAAGGCCCAAGUGAAAACAUUCGGCGUAAAGGGUGGCUAAGGACCUAUUUUAAACUAGAGCUGAAUUUCUUCAAAGCUGUUAUACGCUCAUGAAAACUAGAAAAUCAACCACGAAAGUGGCUCUAAUCCCCCCUGACACCACGAAAGCUAUGACACAAACUGGGAUUAGAUACCCCACUAUGCGUAGCCGUAAACCUGACAGCUCUUUACAUUUGCUGUUCGCCCGGGAACUACGAGCGUAAGCUUAAAACCCAAAGGACUUGACGGUGCUUUAUAUCCCCCUAGAGGAGCCUGUCCUAGAACCGAUAAUCCCCGUUAAACCUCACCUUUUCUUGCUCAUUCCGCCUAUAUACCGCCGUCUCCAGUCUACCCUGUAAAGGACCCAUAGUAGGCGAAAUUGGUACAGCCCCAGACGACAGGUCGAGGUGUAGCGUAUGAAAAGGGAAGAGAUGGGCUACAUUCAGUGAAACACUGAAUACGGAAAGCUAAUUGAAACAUUAACUUGAAGGAGGAUUUAGCAGUAAGUGGCGAAUAGAGAGCCCCACUGAAACCGGCCCUGAAGCGUGUACACACCGCCCGUCACUCUCCCCGAGCAGAAAAAUUCUUUACCUAAAAAGCCAAAAAAUGUAAAGGGGAGGCAAGUCGUAA
rnacentral:rRNA from 1 species